CUGAGUUCAAACCUUAGCCUCGGCAUGGUGCUCUACCCAACUUUUUCUUUUUUUAGUACUUGGAAAACAUUAACAUCUAUAAUAAAUCCAAAAAUCUCAUCCAUUAUUCUGUAAGAGACCAACAUACAAAAUUGACGAAACACAAAGUCACGGUCUCACAACAUGUAAUUAAACGGGCUACACGUGUUUCGCUCUAGUUAGAGCAUCAUCAGGCCUUUAGAAGCCAUCCACACACUUAUGCUGUAACUGAUGAUGCUCUAACUAGAGCGAAACACGUGUAGCCCGUUUAAUUACAUGUUGUGAGACCGUGACUUUGUGUUUUUCUUUGUUUUUCGUCAAUCUAUAGUAAAUACAGAGAGAAAAGGAAAGGUCUUAUUAUAUAUUAUAAUCAAAAAUAAAUUUCAUUGAAAUAUUACUAACUUAUUUCUGGGUAUCAUGCUUCAGAGAACCAUGAUGUGUUACAAUACGCUCCGCUCUUUAAUUUUAGUUUAGUAGAAAAUAUUCUCAAAACCUACAUAUAUCAAAAUUAUGUCAGGGUUCUAAAAUGAAUCGGUAAUAAAAUCGUAAACCAGAUCAACAUUGGAAAUAAUUUAAAAAAUUUGCUUUGGUCCGAUUGAAAAAAGUACUAUACUACCAAAUAGUUACAUCUAUUCUGUAGCAAUAAAAGUUAUAAAAUUCUGUCUAUUAUUAAUUUUAAUAUUAUAAAGUGUAUCGUUUAACUCUUAGCCAUUAUUUAUAAUUUAAUUGUUAAUUAUGCCUAAAAAAACGAAUUAACAACUUUGGUAUUGUUUGGAAGGUAAACAGCUUAAUUCCUUUAUGUAAAGCCACCUUAACAUGUUUUUGCAUAAUUCUGACUCACGUUGGUUGCUAUCGGGCUUAAGCCAUAAAAAUCGAAGAAAAAAAGAAGAAGACGAAGAGACUUUCACUUGUCAUUUCAAUGUCACUUUCCGGCCCACAAGCAUAAACGCCACCGGCAACGGAAGUUCCCAAAAUCCAAACAAAUGUUGGAAGAUAUUUUUAAGUCUCCGCAUCUUUCUUACUUUCCUAUAUGAAAAUAAAAUGUAAGUAUCACAAUUACACACAUACAAGUUUUUUUUUUAAUUCAGUUUCAUAAUUACCAAUUUUUAGUGAAUAAUCCUGAAAUUUAUGAAAAUACAUACAUUUUAAGGUUAUGUCAUAAUGUUUUGAUUGUUAUAUUUGAUUUUGUUUUUGUUAUUUUAGUGGACUACACCAACAAAGGUUAUGUGUUUUGCACCAGAUUGAAAGCAUCAUAGCGAAAAACGGACCUGUCAUAUCUUUAAAUUUUCAAAAGAGCCCCUGGAAAAAGAAAAAUGAAUAUCUUUGCCAAGGAAUAGGUACUAAGGCAAAUGGAUAAAAAACCUUCAGUCCAUGCAUUGGUAUGUAAUUGUUGACAAAAAUACAAUGAAUGGCCUCACUACUUUUCCACAUGCAAAGAGGUUAACCAAGGAGAAAUUAAAGAAAUUGUCAAAAACCUAGGUAAAUACAGAAUUGCUUAGUACAAACAUAUCUAUACCCAGUACAAGUUCGUCCACUUCUUUGAAGCAUGGUACUUCAAACAGAGACACUGUCAACAAUUUUGUAGAAGGUGAGCCGGUGUCAAAUUCCAGUAAGGGACAUGAUUUCAAUUUUGCACCAACAGCAGAGCUUAAAUUCAUUUUGCCGCAAAAAACUGGAGGAUGUGAAAGAAAAAAGUGCAGAAGUUAAAAUUAAGUUUUUCAUAUGAGCACAUAAAAAAUAAUCAUGACAAAGUUCAGUUGUAUACAGGUUUGACAUGUAAUAAAUAUUUUUGUAAUCUUA